AUGUCAGGAGGUCUGCAGCAGAACUGUAACCCUGUCCUGGCAUUUGCCUCUUCACGAUCACCUCACAAGCUCUAAGGAUCCUUAAUCUUCAGCUAACCCCUGCCAAAAGGAAAAAAAACAAAAAACCCACAUCCUAUAUGUUAAAGCCUUGUUACCUGAACAUCACACAUUUGCCUACAGCUUGUGUGUCUUUAUUUCAUAUUCACAGAUUUAGAUUUAUUAAAUUUUCUAUUAAAUGAACCCACUUAACCGAUAAAUCUAUCCACGAAGUGACAAAACAUGGACUGGCAGCUAGAUCUGAAUUUCGGUCUUGCCUCUGCUGAUUUCCAGCUCUGUGGUUUUGAGUGAGUUACUUAGCCUCUCAAUGCUUCAAUUUCCUUUCUGUUCUUCGGUGACCUAACAGCGGCGACCACGUGGUGGUCUUAUGAAGUCCAUUCAAACAGACAGAAGAGAAUUUUUGCUUGGCUGCGCAUAGUAAAUGCUCAGUAAAUGGUAGCUGUGACUGUAUGAUCAUAAUACCCUCCAUUAAGAAAAUGGCGCCCACUCCCUGGACCUCACGCAGUCAUCGUGUGUAUCAAUGGUGGCAUAUGUUGUGAGAAACGCUGCAUUUUAGCACAGAGCUAAUAUUCGUGUGAACCGGCAAGGUGACAGAAGCCACAGGGUGCUUUCGAGAAGAGGACUGCCCUGUAUCUAGGACCCGGGGUUAGAAUAUUUUACAGAAUAAUAAACCCAAUUUAUCACCUUUUAAAAACACCAUCAGCACAAAUGACCUAAAAUUUAAAUUGUAUUAAAUGUGUAUAAUCUGCACGGGUGCCUCUGCUAUGAGAAUAAUUAUGCUAUAUUAUUCUCAGGAAAUGCGCUUUACUGAAGUUGAAAUCUCCAUUAUAGUCCCUAGAGAAUUAAACUUUUUAAUCCUUUAUGAUAGACACUGAUGUUAUGUAUCUAAAGAGCGAUGUCUUGACUAUAUCCUGUCUGUUCACUUUCCUAUCAAUAUUUAAAUGGUUUUUAGGUUUUUAUUUUCAAUUAUACUUACAUUUGAUGACUUUCUUGGAACACCAUCUGAGGAGUUAAUCUUCAUAAUCCAGCCAACAGAAAUGAACCUUUAGAACUACCCUGUUUUUAUUUUUUGUGUAUGCCAAGAUUUAAUGCAUAGCCAAGUAGCAUGAGGCAAGCUCGUUUAAGAGGAGUGUUGUAAAGUUAGAUUUUCAUUAUAUUUAGUGAGAGAUGGUGAUGAUCUCUUAAUUCUUUGCUGCCACAUCUGAGGCUCAAUAGCAAUGGCUUCAUGUCCUCACCCAUACUAACAUGAAUCCGUAAUAUACAUCUUGUGCAGAAUGUAAAUGAAAAAGCUUCCAUUCCAUUCCCAGUUUUCCCAAGAGGCAUGUACAAAAAGAAAAAAAAAGAGAGAGAGAGAAAGAAAGAAAGAAAAAAGAAAGAAAGAAUAAUGAACUAGAGCACAUUUGUCAUAUUAAAAUUGUCAAGCCCUUGUUUAUAGAUAAAAUUUAGACAAGGCUAAUCUUAUUUGUGUUCAAUAUUUAUAGGUCUUUGGAGCCUAUUACCUAUACCAGAUAUACUGGAAAGUAAUAUAACUGUACGCAAAUCCAACCUCCACGCUUUGCCUGGAAAUAAAUGGUGAAAAGAGAAACUUGGCUCUGGAGGGACAGAGGAAUUCGUUGGCUUAUAGGACCGCAAAGUUGAAAUGCCGAAUGGCGUCCCUUCUUAGUCAUCUUGGUCAUGCCUAAGGACCCUCCAUCGUCUGCCGCAGAAAGAGAGAGCAUGUGGAGAAGAGAUUGAAGGAGCCCCGUGGAGACAGAAAAGCAAUGUACCAGCCCCAUUGCAGUUGGAUGUCUAUCCCUGGCCCUAGUCAGCUCUCAGGAGGACAGAAUCAACUUUUGAGACCAGUUCUUAUCGAUAAAGAACUUGCGGAUUGGGCAAGCUUUCCAAAAUCUAUUUUUGCUCCUCUCUUGUGAUGAUGUUAUUUUCCACACAAGGGGUCCAACUCCUAUUAUCUCAGCCGUUAGCCACACAUUACAGAUAAUUAGCAUCAGUCAUAUUGUCAUGUCUGAUAUUUAUUAACAACCUUCUUAACUGUAGCGACAUACUGAUUACUUUUAAAAAUAGCCCUUAGGCUCUUUGGGAGUGGAGCGGCUCCGAGUCUUAUACACUCAACGUUUUUCUCUUAACCACAGCCUGCCAUGGGCACUCUCUUCCUGACAUUUCGGAAAACAGACUUACACACAGGCCUGUGUUUUAUGCUUCUAGUUCUAUGUGGUCCCACUGUACUUAAAGUACUACAGGGAACAACAGAGUCUCUGCUCUUAAGAAGACGUAAUCUACAGUGGAUCAUGAGAUAGAAGAUUUUACCAUUUUCUCCAAACCCAGCUGUGCAAUGGGUAACUAAAUUGGCUCCUUGAGACAAAAAAUUUCGUUCAAGAACAACCUCUAUUACGAUUGCUUGGAAAAGUUGUAGCUACUCUCUUCCUUGCUUCCUUUCUUUUUGGGAUCGUGCCUAGUUGUUGGCUACCAUUCAGGAAAACGUUAUAAUUGUAGGCACUAGCCGAGCCAAAAGGCCAUGUUUUAGUGUUAGGGUAAACUUGUUAAAAUUGGGCCCGUCGCCAGGGUCACCCAUCUAAGAACAUUGUGAAAACAUCUUACUGUUGUUCAUCCAGCUAUGGUCUAAUUAAUUUUCAAAUGGACAAAGUGGCUUCUUGGGCCAUGUAACAAGCAUUUUCAUUCAUUUAAGCGAAGCUGGAUUUGGCCCGGAGCAGGGUCACGAGAAAUUCUAAUGGCUUCUUCUCUUCUUUGUGUGUCCUCAGGAGAGCUUACGUUGAUGUCAACAAAGCAAGAUUUGUGCUCUGGGCCAUCGGAGUAGAAUCAGUUUCCAGAGAGCCAAGUUCUUUGACUUCCCCUAGAAGGAAAGGGUAUGGAAUUGAGCAUAUGGGAAGGCUCUCUAAACCCUUUUACAUUAUUGGAUUUAGCUACGCUCACAUAAUGAAAUUGUUGAGAUUGUUUAAACCUUCUGCAGGGACUUCUGUUAGCAGAGAAGAAACUUGUACUAAAGCCAUAAGAAGAUUGUGUUAUAGAUAUAAUGGAAUCUUUUUUAUCUUUUGCCUGGUUUUCUGUGUAGGGCUGACAUUUUUUUUCUGGGCACGAGGCCAAGGGUCUAUUUAAUUUCUCAAAAUUUCCCAUGGUCACUAAUACUGUCUCCCUGACGGCAGUUUCAUAAAUUUAUAAAUAAAGUCAGAGCCAUCAGAAAGGUUGUGAAUCCUUGCAAUUAACAUCAAAUAACAUUUGGAAAUUGCUUUUGUUUUUAUUUUUUGUUUUUGUUUUGUCUUGUUUUGUUUUACCAUGGCUAUUUUGCUCAGUAAGCAUAGUGACACCUAUGGAAAGCAUGCUCUUGAUUCUUUGGUACAUUUUUUACUGAUCUUACCUAAAUUCCAAUAAAAUAUUGAACUUUGUCUUUGCCUUGAAA